rnacentral:tRNA from 1 species
GGAGCGGUAGUUCAGUUGGUUAGAAUACCUGCCUAACACGCAGGAGGUCACGGGUUAGAGUCCCGUCCGUUCCGCCA